AGGCGCCCCGCAAAUAAGAGGGAUCUUCAAUUCAGCCUGUGGAAACGAAAAGUAAACUCGUUACUGAGCCAGACACAUCAUGUUUUAAUUCUGGUGAACACGCUACUGUCGUUUCUUGUUAAAACGGGAUAUAGGUGCCAGCUUAAGGGAAGUGACGGGAAGAGAAUCAAUCCAGUCAAGCUUCCUCCAGAGCAACACUGCAGAGGCUUUGCCAAAGCACUCACAUGAAGGACAUCAGGAAUGGACAGGGUAGGGACUGGGGAGGAACCCCUUAACUUUUGCCUUGUCCUUAAACCUUUGUGAAUUAUUUGAUCUGUAACAGCUUGUAUUGUAAAAUCUUAACAAGAGUUCAAAAAAGAUAUUACUAGCAGCUUUCAAGAUAUGUGAACAGCCUACUGUAUAAAAAGAAUUUUAAAAUGUCAUGAAA
rnacentral:lncRNA from 1 species